rnacentral:rRNA from 1 species
CGCGUGUACUGGUCCGGCCGGGCCUUUCCUUCUGGAGAUCCCCAUGCCCUUCACUGGGUGUGUGGGGGAACCAGGACUUUUACUUUGAAAAAAUUAGAGUGUUCAAAGCAGGCCUUUGCUCGAAUACGUUAGCAUGGAAUAAUAGAAUAGGACGUGCGGUCCUAUUUUGUUGGUUUCUAGGACCGCUGUAAUGAUUAAUAGGGAUAGUCGGGGGCAUCAGUAUUCAAUUGUCAGAGGUGAAAUUCUUGGAUUUAUUGAAGACUAACUACUGCGAAAGCAUUUGCCAAGGAUGUUUUCAUUAAUCAGUGAACGAAAGUUAGGGGAUCGAAGACGAUCAGAUACCGUCGUAGUCUUAACCGUAAACUAUGCCGACUAGGGAUCGGGCGAUGUUUCUUUCUUGACUCGCUCGGCACCUUACGAGAAAUCAAAGUUUUUGGGUUCUGGGGGGAGUAUGGUCGCAAGGCUGAAACUUAAAGAAAUUGACGGAAGGGCACCACCAGGGCGUGGAGCGUGCGGCUUAAUUUGACUCAACACGGGGAAACUCACCAGGUCCAGAUGAAAUAAGGAUUGACAGAUUGAGAGCUCUUUCUUGAUUUUUCAGGUGGUGGUGCAUGGGCCGUUCUUAGUUGGUGGAGUGAUUUGUCUGCUUAAUUGCGAUAACGAACGAGACCUUAACCUCCUAAAUAGCCAGGCUAGCUUUGGCUGGUCGCCGGCUUCUUAGAGGGACUAUCGG